ensembl:snRNA
ACCAUCCAUUUCUUGGGUUUGUGCUACUGUUCAAUGAGUGCCUAGUGAGGGCAGUACCACUAACUCCUGCACAACAUUGAAAUCAACUAGAGCUUUGCUUUACCUUAGUGCAAUUUUUGGGAAA